rnacentral:rRNA from 1 species
CGGUGGAAAGGGGCGCAAGCCUGAUCAGCGACGCCGCGUGAGGGAAGAAGGCCUUCGGGAUGUAAACUUCUUUACUAACCGACGAUGGUCCUGUGCACACACAAGAGACCAAGUCUGCUUCUAAAAGUCCCGGCUAACUAAUUGCUAGCGGCCGCGGUAAUGAUUUACCC